CAAAUCAUCAUGCCCCUUAUGACUUGGGCUACACACGUGCUACAAUGGCGUAAACAAAGGGAAGCGAGAGUGUGAGCUUAAGCAAAUCUCAAAAAUAACGUCUCAGUUCGGAUUGUAGUCUGCAACUCGACUACAUGAAGCUGGAAUCGCUAGUAAUCGCGAAUCAGAAUGUCGCGGUGAAUACGUUCCCGGGUCUUGUACACACCGCCCGUCACACCAUGGGAGUUGGUAACGCCCGAAGUCAGUGACCCAACCGUAAGGAGGGAGCUGCCGAAGGCGGGACUGAUAACUGGGGUGAAGUCGUAAC
rnacentral:rRNA from 1 species